UACAGAGGGGGCAAGCGUUGUUCGGAAUUACUGGGCGUAAAGGGCGCGUAGGCGGCCUGUUAAGUCGAACGUGAAAUCCCCGGGCUCAACCCGGGAACUGCGUCCGAUACUGGAAGGCUUGAAUCCGGGAGAGGGAUGCGGAAUUCCAGGUGUAGCGGUGAAAUGCGUAGAUAUCUGGAGGAACACCGGUGGCGAAGGCGGCAUCCUGGACCGGUAUUGACGCUGAGGCGCGAAAGCCAGGGGAGCAAACGGG
rnacentral:rRNA from 1 species